rnacentral:rRNA from 1 species
GCGAGAAGGUCACACCCGUUCCCAUCCCGAACACGGUAGUUAAGCUUCUCUGCGCC